UGAAAAUAUCWKYUSYWWYWWACCAAAAACACAAAUAUAAAUAAAUAUUAAAGCUAAUAUCUAAUAGAAACAUCUUUAAUUUUAGUAAAGGUGAUUAAACCUUAAUUUAAGAAUCAAUAGUAAAGUACUGUGAAGGAAUAAUCUAAUUUAAUUGACUUUUAGUAGAGAUAAUUCUCGUACCUUUUGUAUAAUGGCUUAGCUAGAUUUUUAUUCUGAAUAGAAUUUCUAGAAAAUUAAUGAGCGACUCUAUUUUUUCUUUAUAGAGAAUAAAGAGUAGGUGUGGCAAAACCUUUUUAAAAAUUUAGAGUAGAAAUGAAAUUUUAUCCGCAUUAAUUGAUAGCUAGUUUUCUCCUAAAGGCAUAGAAGUGCUCUCAAUUUUUAAAAUAAUUUUUAUAAACAAUUAAAUUGAAUUAUUUUAAAGUUGUUUUACUUUUCUGAGGAUUAGCUCGGAAAAUAUCCUAUUAAAUAUUACAUAGAUAACCCAAAAUUAAAUUUAGGCUUGAAAGUAGCUUAUAUUCUGAGUUUGUUAUAAAUCAUUAAUAAAAUUAAAGGGAUAAUUAAUUUGUAAUAAUUUAAGGAGAAAAGAUCUUAUAAAUUAUAUUAAGAUAUUUUAAUGCUGAGAUGAGUAUUAGCAAAUAUAAUUUAACUUAGGUAAUAUAGAAACUAGUGUUAAAAAAUUUAUAUACAAAUGAAAUCUGCAAAAGGAACUCGGCAAAUUAAUUUGCUCCGCCUGUUUAUCAAAAACAUGGCUCUAUGAUUAAGUUAUAUAUAGAGUCGGACCUGCCCAGUGAGUAUUUAUUUAACGGCCGCGGUACUCUGACCGUGCAAAGGUAGCAUAAUCAUUUGCCCUAUAAUUGAGGGCUAGUAUGAAUGGUUUGACGUGAGCAAAGCUGUCUCUUGUAGAAUAAAUAGAAUUUAACUUAUAGGUGAAGAUGCCUAUAUAACAUUGAUAGACAAGAAGACCCUAUCGAGCUUUAAAAAAAUAUUUAAGACAAAGUUGCCUGUAUAUUAGGACAUCUAAUUAAAUAAAAUUUUGGUUGGGGCGACUGAGGAACAAAUAAAGCUUCCUCUAAUUCAUAAAAACUUCUCUAGUUAUGAUCCAAUUUCUAUUGAUCAAAGAAAUUAGUUACCGUAGGGAUAACAGCAUAAUCUUUUUUGAGAGCUCAUAUCGAAAAAAAGGUUUGUGACCUCGAUGUUGGACUAGAGUUUCCUGAAGAUGCAGAAGUCUUCAAGGGUUGGUCUGUUCGACCAUUAAAACUCUACAUGAUCUGAGUUCAGACCGGCGUGAGCCAGGUCAGUUUCUAUCUUCAAUUAGUUAAAUUUAAGCUUAGUACGAAAGGACCAGWUYRRARRMRYWMWYYYWUAUAAUGAUAAAAUAUAAUAAUAAAAUGAAUGUUAUUACCAAAUUAGCAAAGUUAAUGCAAU
rnacentral:rRNA from 1 species